UGCAUUGUUAAGGUUGUUUUCAAAACAUUCAGUAUAUGAUCAAGUAUGUUAUGUAAAUAAUCAUGGUAACAAGUAUUUUUCACAUAUAAUAAUAGACGUUUAAGAAUAUCUGUCUUUAGGUGAAGUUAACUUGCAUGGAUCAAAAAUUUACAGACCAAGUUGUUAAGAGCUAUUGGCGGAUGCCUUGGCAUUGACAGGCGAUGAAGGAUGCGUUUACCUGCAGUAAUCUUCGGUGAGCUGGUAUAGAGCUAUGACCCGGAGGUAUCCGAAUGGGGCAACCCGAUAGACUAAUAGUCUAUCAUUAUAUGUGAAUACAUAGGCAUAUAAGGCGACACCCGCUGAACUGAAACAUCUUAGUAG
rnacentral:rRNA from 1 species